UACGUAGGUGACAAGCGUUGUCCGGAUUUACUGGGCGUAAAGAGCGCGCAGGCGGUCGUUCAAGUCGAGUGUGAAAGCCCCCGGCUCAACUGGGGAGGGUCAUUCGAUACUGAUCGACUCGAAGGCAGGAGAGGGAAGUGGAAUUCCCGGUGUAGUGGUGAAAUGCGUAGAUAUCGGGAGGAACACCAGUGGCGAAGGCGGGACUCUGGGCCGAUACUGACGCUGAGGAGCGAAAGCGUGGGGAGCGAACAGG
rnacentral:rRNA from 1 species